CAGUAGCCGCGGGAAUACAGAGGGUGCAAGCGUUAAUCGGAAUUACUGGGCGUAAAGCGCGCGUAGGUGGUUCGCCAAGUUGGAUGUGAAAUCCCCGGGCUCAACCUGGGAACUGCAUUUGUGACUGACGGGCUAGAGUAUGGCAGAGGGGGGUAGAAUUCCACGUGUAGCAGUGAAAUGCGUAGAGAUGUGGAGGAAUACCGAUGGCGAAGGCAGCCCCCUGGGCCAAUACUGACGCUCAUGCACGAAAGCGUGGGGAGCAAACAGGAUUAGAUACCCGAGUAGUCCCUGUCUCUUAUAC
rnacentral:rRNA from 1 species